CGCGGGGUGGAGCAGUUGGUAGCUCGUCGGGCUCAUAACCCGAAGGUCAUGUGGUUCAAGUCCCAUCCCCGCUACCA
rnacentral:tRNA from 1 species